rnacentral:rRNA from 1 species
AUUGAACGCUGGCGGCAGGCUUAACACAUGCAAGUCGAGCGAGCGGCGGACGGGUUGGCUAUGACUGGGAAAGUGCCUGAUGGAGGGGGAUAACAACUGGAAACGGUUGCCACUAACGCCUACAAUCAGCUGUGCCCAGAUGGGAUUAGAUAGUGGGUGGGGUAAUGGCUUACCUAGGUGACGAUCUCUAGCUGGUCGGAGAGGAUGACCAGCCACACUGGAACUGUGACACGGGCCAGACUCCUACGGGAGGCAGCAGUGGGGAAUAUUGCACAAUGGGCGCAAGCCUGAUGCAGCCAUGCCGCGUGUGUGAAGAAGGCCUUCGGAUUGUAAAGCACUUUCAGCGAGGAGGCGUUACUCGCAGAAGAAGCACCGGCUAACUCCGUGCCAGCAGCCGCGGUAAUAC